rnacentral:rRNA from 1 species
GGGCAUUGCUGUUGGGGUUCGACUUAGGAAUGCUAGUCUACCGAUGUUCCAUUAGGAACAUAGGGGCGAACAGCUCAGUAACACGUAGCCAACCUGCCCUCGCGUGGGGAAUAACCUCGGGAAACUGAGGCUAAUGCGCCAUAGGCGGAGAAGUCUGGAAUGACUCCUCGCUGAAAGCUCCGGCGCGCGAGGAUGGGACUGCGGCCGAUUAGGUAGUAGGUAGUGUAAAGGACCACCUAGCCUUCGAUCGGUACGGGCCGUGGGAGCGGGAACCCGGAGACGGGUACUGAGACAAGGACCUGGGCCCUAAGGGGCGCAGCAGUCGCGAAAACUCCGCAAUACACGAAAGUGUGACGGGGCCAUCCCGAGUGCCAUCCGCUGAGGAUGGCUUUUCCCCAGUGUAUAAAGCUGGGGGAAUAAGGAGAGGGCAAGCCUGGUGUCAGCCGCCGCGGUAAUACCAGCUCUCCGAGUGGUGGGGAUGCUUAUUGGGCCUAAAGCAUUCGUAGCCGGUUGGGCAAGUCCUCCGUUAAAUCCAGCGAUUCAAUCGUUGGGCUGCGGGGGAUACUGUCCGGCUUGGGGGCGGAAGAGGCCGACGGUAUUCUCGGGGUAGGGGUGAAAUCCUAUAAUCCCGGGAGGACCACCAGUGGCGAAGGCUGUCGGCUAGAACGCGCCCGACGGUGAGGGAUGAAAGCUGGGGGAGCGAACCGGAUUAGAUACCCGGGUAGUCCCAGCUGUAAACGAUGCAGGCUAGGUGUUGGCGCGGCUACGUGCCGCUCCAGUGCCGCAAGGAAGCCGUUAAGCCUGCCGCCUGGGAAGUACGGCCGCAAGGCUGAAACUUAAAGGAAUUGGCGGGGGAGCACCACAAGGGGUGAAGCUUGCGGUUU